rnacentral:rRNA from 1 species
UACAGAGGGUGCGAGCGUUAAUCGGAAUUACUGGGCGUAAAGCGUGCGUAGGCGGUUUGUUAAGUCUGCUGUGAAAUCCCCGGGCUCAACCUGGGAAUGGCAGUGGAUACUGGCAAGCUAGAGUGUGUCAGAGGAUGGUGGAAUUCCCGGUGUAGCGGUGAAAUUCGUAGAUAUCAGGAGGAACACCAGUGGCGAAGGCGGCUUCCUGGACACCAACUGACGCUGAGACGCGAAAGCGUGGGGAGCAAACAGG